UACGUAGGUGGCAAGCGUUACUCGGAAUCACUAGGCGUAAAGCGCAGGUAGGAGGUUUGGUAAGUCUGUUGUGAAAGCUCCCGGCUUAACUGGGAGAGGUCAACGGAAACUGCCAGGCUAGAGUGCGGUAGAGGUAGCUGGAAUUCCCGGUGUAGCGGUGAAAUGCGUAGAUAUCGGGAGGAAUACCUAUGGCGAAAGCAGGCUACUGGACCGUUCACUGACUCUGAUCUGCGAAAGCUAGGGGAGCAAACAGG
rnacentral:rRNA from 1 species